rnacentral:tRNA from 1 species
CCUAGCCUAUUGGCUCAGCUGGUUAGAGUGUCGUGCUGAUAACGUGAAGCUCACAGGUUCGAGACCUGAAGGGGCCAU